UAUGGGGCAGAUAUGGGGGCUAUGGGGCACCAGGAAGGGUAUGGGGUGGGAUUUGGGGUGGUUGUGGGGAAGAUUUGGGGGUUAUGGGGUAGCCAUGGGGUCUAUGGGGCAGCUAUGGGGCAGUUAUGAAGUCAACAGGGCAGCUAUAUGGCAGCUAUGGGGUCUAUGGGGUAAUUAUGGGGUCUAUGGGGCAGCUAUGGGGUCUAUGGGGCAGCUAUGGGGUAGCCACGGGGUCUAUGGGGUAUCUAUGGGGUCUAUGGGGCAGCUAUGGGGUAUAUGGGGUCAUUAUGGGGUCUAUGGAGCAGCUAUGGGGUCUAUGGGGCGGCUAUGGGGUCUAAGGGGCAGGUAUAGGAUCUAUGGGGUAACUAUGGGGUCUAUGGGGCGGCUAUGGGGCGGCUAUGGGGUGGCUAUGGGGCAGCUAUGGGGCAGGACCCACCUUGUGAGCGCAGAUCCCCCGAUUCCCUCAGGUUCGUCUGCGACCCNNNNNNNNNNNNNNNNNNNNNNNNNNNNNNNNNNNNNNNNNNNNNNNNNNNNNNNNNNNNNNNNNNNNNNNNNNNNNNNNCCCCCCCCCCCGACCCCAAACCCCACAGCACUGCGCCCCAAAACGACGGCAAAGGGCAGGGAGAGGAACUGGGAGGGAUACUGGUCAUACUGGGAUGGUACUGGUGGGACUGGGAGGGAUACUGGUCAUACUGGGAUGAUACUGGUGGGACUGGGAGGGAUACUGGUGAUAUUAGGAUGGAUACUGGUGAUAAUGGGAUGGAUACUGGUCAUACUGGGGUGGAUACUGGUCAUACUGGGAUGAUACUGGUGGCACUGGGAUGAUACUGGUGGGACUGGGACGAUACUGGUGGGAUUGGGAUGGAUACUGGUGGCACUGGGAUGAUACUGGGGUGAUACUGGGAUGGUACUGGGGUAGAUACUGGUGAUACUGGGAUGGAUACUGGUGAUACUGGGAUGAUACUGGGGUGAUACUGGAGUGGAUACUGGUGGGACUGGGAUGGAUACUGGUGGGACUGGGAUGGAUACGGGUCAUACUGGGAUGAUACUGGGGUGAUACUGGGGUGGAUACUGGUGAUACUGGGAUGAUACUGGUGGGAUUGGGAUGGAUACUGGUUAUACUGGGGUGGAUACUGGUGGGACUGGGGGGGAUACUGGUGGGACUGGGAUGGAUACUGGUCAUACUGGGAUGGUACUGGUGGGAUUGGGGUGGAUACUGGUGGCACUGGGAUGAUACUGGGGUGAUACUGGGAUGGUACUGGGAUGGAUACUGGUGAUACUGGGAUGGAUGCUGGUGGCACUGGGAUGAUACUGGUGAUACUGGGACGGAUACUGGUUAUACUGGGAUGAUACUGGGGUGAUACUGGGGUGGAUACUGGUGGCACUGGGAUGAUACUGGUGAUACUGGGAUGGAUACUGGUGGCACUGGGAUGAUACUGGUGGGACUGGGAUGGAUACUGGUUAUACUGGGAUGAUACUGGGAUGAUACUGGGGUGAUACUGGGGUGGAUACUGGUGGGACUGGGAUGAUACUGGUGGGACUGGGGUGGAUACUGGUCAUACUGGGAUGAUACUGGGGUGAUACUGGGGUGGAUACUGGUGAUACUGGGAUGAUACUGGUGAUACUGGGAUGGUACUGGUGGGAUUGGGGUGGAUACUGACCCCAUUGGUCCCAUUUAUCCCAUUGACCUCGUUGAUCCCAUUGGUCCCAUCCCCAAUGACCCCAACGACCCCACUGACCCCAUUGACCCCACUGACCCCACUGACCCCAUUAAUCCCAUUGACCCCAUCCAUCCCAAUGACCCCAAUGACCCGAAUGA
ensembl:lncRNA